rnacentral:lncRNA from 10 species
CUGGAAGCCAUGGUGGAAUCUUCCCAGGCUCAUCGGUGAUCCGUGGGCAUGCAGAUUUGACAAGGGAGAGGCUUGACCUCAUCAAGUUGCUGGCAUGUGUUGGUCACAGAGCUGGGAUGUCAGAGAUCCUGCAGAGCAGAGCCAAUAAAUUUUCUUGGGGCUCACAUGUUUUCAUAGGCCCCUGAAAAGCCCGGAGGCCCUGGGUACUGUGCCUUUAGUGCCACGUGGAAAGAACAGCUUGGGCUCAGGACUUCAGGUGGUCUCCACCCGGCCACUGGAGAGAAUGAGACAAAAAAGCCCCAGAUGAGGAAACUCAAGAAGCUAUGAAAGGUGAAGGCAUUUGCUCAGAGUCACACAGCUACUGAGGAGCAAACCAAGGAUUUAACCCUUCAUCCCUUUAGCUUUGAGGAUCUUUCAGCUGCCCAGUGCCCGUGAAGAUGAAUAAAUAUUAACUAUUACUAUUAUCAUUAUCAGAAUCUUCCUCUCCCUGAAGGAAUUAAGAGAAGAAAAAGCAUCCUCAUUCUACCGCUUACUAGCUGUGUAACCAUGGGUAAUGUACUUAAUCUGUCUGUGCCUCAGUUUGUUCACCUAUAAAAUGGGGAUAUAGGACCUACCUCAAAGAGUUGUUGUGAAGAGUCAUGAGUGAAUACAUGCAAAGCAUUUGGCAAAGUGCCUGACACACAGUAGUGUUCAAUAAGUGUUAACUAUUAUUAUUAUCAUUGUUAUUAUUAUAGUUCUCUGAGCACCAGGAUCCAGGCUACCCACUGUGUGAGGCUCUAAGUUGGAGUCGCUGGGAUAUUGGGAAACAAAGAACAAAGAGGGCAGUGCAUGGGCAACCUAAGCUUUUGGCUGGAACUGGGGCUUGCAAGAUUUCUCCUUGAAAAGGAUAAUCUGAUCUCUCAGGCUUGGAGGGGCCAUAGAUACCAACUGCCACCUGCCAGGCCUCUGGGACCCUGCAAGUAAGAUGGGCUCCUUCACACCCAAAGCUGCCUAGGCUAUUUUUAGUGAUGAUAGCAGCUGGCC